GACCUCACUGAUGACCUAGUGGUUUUACCAUCUGCCUCAGAUGCAGAAGGUUGCAGGUUCGAACACCUGCAAAGUCAUGUCA